UGGAUCCAACGGGAGCCACGUGUGAGAACUGGAUGCCCAGCCUUUGACACAUUAUCGAGUGAGUUUAGGGAUCUGGGUUUUGUGUUUGCCGUUGAAUUUUGGAAUGAUCUGGAGAAAUUUGGGUUUUAGGGUUCUAAGGAUUUGAGUGAACCGAAAUUGAUUUGGAUGAGCAACUUUUAGUUUCGAUUCGCGGUGGAGCAAGGAUGAAGAGGUGGAGGAGGAAGGAAUGAAAGACUUAACUUCUAAAGUUUCAAGUGCUUAGCAAAUUUCGAUCAAUGUAUGUUUCAAUACUUCAAAAAAAGGGACAUGCAUCAAAGACUUUUAGGUGGAAAAAAUAUGCAUUGGCUGAAAUGGAGAUAAUUAAGAUUUAAAAUGUUAAAAAUUUUCUUUUUGGCUCACUAAUUAGAUGCAAAAGUGAGACUGUGUGAACAAUUUUACACCCAGAAACAUGAACUACACAGAAUCACAACUGAUCGAACAAUGAGAAAGUAUAUAAGACAAUACACUAUCAAUAGGCUAAAACACUCUAUUAAUUGAUCUAACAAUAGGCUAAUAGGUUUAACUAAACCAUUAGAGACUGCAACAAUGAGAAAGUCUGAAGAUUAAAGUUCUAGUUGAAUAUCUUUGAACCCCUAGGUGUUGGAAACACUUUCAGUAAAUUUGUUCAGGAAAAUAUAGAAACUCAUGAUGCAAUUCCAUCGUCUGGGAUAGCAAAUAUUUACCUGGAAUCCAACAUUAAGCUACCAUUUUUCAUAAGUUUAUUCUUUUUGUUAACUACACUGGAAUUUAUAAAACAAUUUUAGAAAAACUCGAGUCUAGAUAAUGAACUUUUGUUCCAGUUUAAAAAAUUUUGACUUGUGUUCUAAGCAACAUUAUGUAUUCGCAUUUCAAUUGUGAAAGGCAGCAAUAAUCCCUGACUGAAGAUAUUAAAAAUCAGAACUUCUUCUCCAAGUUUUCAUUUAGUUUAUUUCACUUGUCCAUCGGAAUUUUAUGCAAAGAAGAUUAAAUAAAGACAAUAGCAUGCCAAAGAUUAAAACCCCUCAUUUCAAACUCUGCUAAUGCACAACUCUGUUUGGUUUUCUUCUCCAGAGACCAGACUGAGUGAGGAGUCAAGUUCUCCAGUGCACCAACAAUCUCCCGUUCGAGCAGCCAUCACCACCUCACUUGCCACUCCGGCGAGGCACCACCUUGCCACCACCCUCAUGUCUCACUCCCUCUCUACCACUCUCCCUAUUUCCCUCACCUCUUUCUCUCGAUACUGUGCUCGCUGCACAGAAACAGCAAGGCAACCACCGUCGCCUUUUUUCACAGCGAACUACGCCGUAACGAAACCAUCACCAUUAAUCUCGCUACCUAGGCGAGUUUUACCACCCUCUGCAAACUGCCUUCAUGCCUUCUAAUUUCAAUUCUUGCAUUUCUUGUAUGGUAUCCAUGUCUUGCACAUUCAAAUACUUAUAUACCGACUGAGAAUAACAAUAUAAAUCCCACACCCACCUCUUUUUCCCCACUUGAAAAAAUCACCUAAAAACAACAUUAACCACCAUAGUUUAAGAAUCCAAACAUGGCUCCAAAUUUCAAUCUAAUUAAUUAAAUUACAGAGGAUUCUACCUACCUCAUGAAAACAAAUAUGUUCAAUUAAAGAAAUUCCCUAACCAAUGCAGUGCAUCUUAAACUACUUCUUAACUAUGUCAGCCAUACCAAUCUAAUAAAAAAUCCAUGUUUCAAUCGAUUCUUAUUAAUUCCAACUCCAAGUAUUUCAGCAUCUAGAUUAUAGAAAAAUCAUAACAAAACAAAACUCAAUCUUGGUGCUAAAGCACACUUCGUUAACCUCACCUUCAUCAAGUCCAUGAUUCCUGCCAUGAGAUCUUUCUCUUAAUCCAGACUUGGCUUCAGAUGCAAGAUCAAAAUAACGAAGCAUUCAGUUCCAUUUCUACGCACAGCAAAUUAAAAAUUGAAAUAUGUUAUAAUUUACUCGGAAUCUUCAUAAGUAUCAUCAAAACAUAUAAACAGAUACAUUUGAAAACUGAUAAAGCUACCUAAUUAAGUUGAAAAGUUGCUAAUUAAGAUCAGGUGCCAGUGCAUCCAGUGAGCCUUCCAAGGAAAGAUGGCCCCAUGGACUUAGACCUUGAAAACUGAGGCUUGUUUUGCCUUGUAAUUGUAUGAUCAGUAGCAUUCUUAUGGAUUGUAAUUGUAUGAUCAGUAGUAUCCUUAUGGAUUCCCAGAUGAAUCCUCAAAAUUUUGUUCUCAUCUGUUAGCUUAUGCACAUGGGACAAAAGCCGCUCAAUUGUUUCACACUUCUCCUUGUUUCUCCUUAUCAACUCAGCUCACUGCUGCAUAUUUCGUCAAUGAGUUUCGAGAUCUUUUCAUGCAACAUUUUAUCUUUUUCAACCACAUUACCAUCAGAUUCUACACCAUGAUCAAUACUCUCUUUUUCCAAAUAUUCUUCAAAAGUACACAAACCAACCUUUUUUAGGACAGACCAGCAUUUGUUUGUUUUGAUGGCUCUGAAUUUGGUUUCCGUUUUCUCUUUGUGGUGGUCUGAUCAAGAUGCAGUCCAAAAACUAAUUUGAGUGCCUACACAGAUGAACAUCGCAUAAAAAUCAAAAAUAAAAAACAGCAGCAGAGAUAAAAAAAAAGACAAUAAUUCUAAAAAAAUUUAAAUCAAAAGCUUAAGACUAACUCACAGGAAGUUCUGUGAGUUAAUUUUUUGGGCAAAAAAAAAUUCUAUUAAUGCAUUCUCAUACAAAAAAAAAUUCUUUAAAUACUGAUUUCAUGCGAUCCAGGAGCUAAGUGCUUAAAUCAGAAAAAUUUCUUUAACCCAGAUACUCUUAUAUUGCAGUGCAGCAAAGUUUUUCUUGAACGCUGACGAAUAUCACUCUGAAAUUAACCCAAAUAUAUCUCAGAGAUUGCAGAGAUUCAGACAAUCAAUAAUAAGAUGGCCGGAAUGUUCUUUAUUCAUUUGUCCUCCAUACUCUACCCUAAUCUUCUUAGGAUUUUAGUUAAACAACUUGCUCCUGUAACAGCUAUAUUAAAGCAUAAAUAUUCAUGAACACUCAUCACCAAUAGCAAAAAGGCAUAAAGUAUUUUUACAUAAAUCUAAAGAUCCCUUUUGUGUCCCAAACCCAGGUCUGUCCUCUCUUUGCCUUCCUCCUUCAGGGCAUAAUUAGAGAUACCCACCAACAGUAUAACCAGAAAAAUUGCAGUGAGAUUUUAAAGUACGAACUUUAUUUGAUAUUGCAAUGAAAUAUAACAAAAUGUAAAAAAAUUGUUAUUUUGGUAAUAGACAGUGGAAUAACAGAAGAAGCCGAACCCAGAAAAAUUAAAAACACAUAAUCACAGUAGAAGAAGCAAACCCAAGAAAAUACAUAAAAUAAAAUAAAAGGGUGCAACUUUUAUUGGCGGGUGAAUGAGUAGACAAUAAAAAAAAGUGCAAACUUUGAGUUCAAAACAAACCUCGUACCAUUGAAAUUUGAGACUUGGAGUCGCCCACGUGAAGGGUUUUAUGAGAAGACAGUAUUAGGCGUGCUGAAGUUAGUUUAUGCUUUUAGUUGUAAAUUCACAUCUAAUACUAGUUGAACACAAAUUUCAGCAAAUACACAGAAGAAAUAGCAAGAAUUCAUUUCAGAAAUGGGAAAAAAUUAAAUUAAAAAUAGAAAACAAAGGGCCGAAAAGCUGCAUACCUAAACACAAUUUCAUAUCUUUUUAUCCUCUUCGAGUACCGAUCCAUUCCAGAGAGAGGGAGAGAGGAGGAAGGAGACGACGAAGGGGGAGAGGAGGGAGAGGAAGGCGAGAGGAGGAAAACGACGGAGGCGAUUUACUGUCUGUGUUGUUCUCGCGGGGACUGCGAGAUGAACGAGGUGAGGAAUGACCAGGUGGCUCUGGGCUCAAGGUCAGUGAAGCAGUGGCGAAGCCAAGAUUUACCGAGGGGAGGGGAGGGGCGAAAUUCAAAAGAGUGCAAAGUUAUCGAAUGGUUGCUUUCACAUUGGAGAGUGUAAAGUUUUGAGUCAAUAUUCAUAGCAAAAGAUAGUUUUGCAUCAAAGUUGUUGUAAGCAAUAAUAUCAAAACUAAUGUAAGAAGCUUAAAUUGGCAAAGAUUAUAUCGUAAAAAAUAUUGUGUGCUAGUCAAAUAGUGGACCUAGCAGACCUAGGCGAUAUCUAAGCAGAAGCCUAGAUGGAUUUAAAUUAUCGUAAAAUAAGUAUUAAACAAUAUUUACAUUGUUUUUAAAAAAUAAUACAAUAUUUAUAGAUAAUGUGAGAGUUUAAGAAAAUACGGUGAGAGUCUUAAAAGAGAAAAUAAAAGGGAAGUGUUAUUGGCACUCCAAAAAUCUCAUUCUACACUCCUCACAAGUGUAUUUUUAUUUCUAAAUAUAGAAAAUUUUGAAUGUAGAAUGAGAUUUUUAGAGUGCCAAUAACAAUUCCCAAAUAAAAAUACAUACACGAACAAAAAUUUGAAAAAAAAGAGAGAAAUAGGUUAAUAAGGACAAUACUUGGGUACUGCCUUUUUUCAAUGACUACAAUGUCACUCAGUAAAGUUAAAACAUGUGUCCUACUUUUCUUAUUAAAACUAGCAACCAAACACCCUCGUGUUUAAGGAAGACGGGCAUCCAAACAACCCAUUUAUUCCUUUCGUCCCUAACAUCUCCGCACGUCUGUAUACCAUGGUUUCCAUUGCUCUCAUCAUCACCACUCCAUUUCAAACAUAAGCACAAACACAAACAAUAAUCCAGCAAUAAUUUACCCAUUUGAAAACCCAAUUUUUUUUUUCAAAUCUGGACAAACAACCAAAUUUCAUUGCGACCCGCCACCAAUCCUUAUCUCCUUCGGUGACCCACCACCAAUCCUUCUCUACUUCGACGACCCACCUCCUCUCACUCUCUUCUACAGAAAGACUAACUCCUUGUCCUUCUCUUGAACGACGGCGAUUGCUGAAGACUGUCUCCCCCACAGCAAUAGAAACCAGAUCACUGGAGCGGGAAUUCUCAUUUCCGACGAGAGCGGAGGGGCUGAACGAGCGCUCUUAGGCAUGUUUUCCGGCGAGGGGAGUGGCGGCCGCCACUCCUUACCCUCACGUAGCUUCGCCACUGUCAGUGAGAAAAUGAGAGACCUAAACGGCUAGGUUAGAAAUGAGAGUAUGGGUUGAGGGGCACAGAAGAUCUGGAAAUGAUUUUUACCUUUCAAUUUGGAAAUGAUUUUUGCUGACCACUGUCAUGUUCCGUGAUUUCUUCCAUCACAAGAAAUCAAGUUGGGCUCAAAUUGUAAUAGUUUGGGUUCAAUUUGCAAUUUACAGCUUUUAAGUGGUAUUUUAUUUUAGGGUUAAUAUCAGUUUACUAUCCUGAAAUUUUGUGAUUUUCAAUAUUUGGUACAUGAAAUUUUUUUCAUCCCAGAGUCAUACCUCAAGACUUAAUUUUGGGACAAUUUCAUACAACCGUUAGAAAUUCUGUUAACUAAUGACGUGGUGUUCACGUGGACAAUAAUUGAGCGCCAUAUGCCAAUAUUGGCCCACUCCAAUAUUAAAAAAAAUUAUAAAAAAAAAAAAAAGAAAACCCAACCUUCCCUCACCCACCCCCUCCCCCGGCACCCUCUCCCUCUGUUCUCUCUUCUGCAAGUCCCAGCACCUCUCGAUUUUCCUUCAAUUUGACCCAUUUGGGACUGGGAGCCAAAUUAGACUAGGAGUUGGAAUUUGAGGUUCCAGGGGAAAUGGGGAAGACCCAGAUGGCAAUCUGAUUCACCAUUGGAGAUAAAACUGAAUCUGGAUAUUUGCACAGUGCAAAGCUCAGAUCCGUUCACAAUCAAGCUAUUACAGAAGAAGACUUGAGGUUUGGACUUGCAGGCGGCAACGUUGGCCAAUGUCCACACGUUCAGGCAGAGGCUGGUGACCUCGACGAGGAUCAGAAGGGAGAGAAUGGCGGCUGCACUGUGCGAAGCGACGCAGCAGCAUGUGAGGAAGAUGAAGAGUGUGAUGAGGAUGACAGCGAGGGUGAUGUGGGCGAGGAGAACAGAGGCGUGGAAUUGGAGAAGAGAGAAGGGAGAAGCGAGGGAAGAGGUGAGGGUUGCAGAAGAGAGAAAUGAUGGAGAUGGUGCGGGGGGGUGAGGGACGGGUGGGAUUUUAUUUUUAUUUUUAUUUUUUUUGUUUUUGUGUUUUUGUUUUUAUUUUUUUAAUUUUUUAAUAUUGAAGUGGGCUCAUAUUGACAUGUGGCACUCAGUUAUUGUCCACGUGGAUGUCACGUCAUCAGUUAACAAAAUUUCUAAUGGAAAACUUAACGGAUGUAUGAAACUGUCCCAAAAUUAAGACUAGAGGUAUGACUCUGAGAUGAAAAAAAAAACUUCAUGCACCAAAUGUUGAAAACCACGAAAUUUCAGGAUAGUAAACAGAGAUUAACCCUUUAUUUUACUAGUUUCUUUGUUAGUGACAAGUGGCAAGACAGACAUGUGUAAUGGGUUGGCUAUAUAGCCACACUCUCUCUCUUCCAACUGUUAGAAUGAAUUUAAUAUAAUUUCACAAAAGCUGAGCUAAUCUCUUUCCUUCUUCCUUCUCUAUUUAUGUAUCUUGCUCGGUCAAGGUUGAACGGUAGUUUGAAGUUGGUGGGUAUCUUGCAAGUUCCCUCAACUUUAGACUAUGGUAAUGGUCUAUCCAUUUAUACCUGUGGGUGGUGGUAGUGCCUAGUGGUGGCUUGCUGUUGUCUAUAAAAUGUGUGGCCUUAUGCUUGUUGUAAAUAAUGGGUAUGUUUGCCCACAUGUGUGUACUAUAUACUCACAAGCUAAAUAGUAAUGUUUUGUAAUUUUCCAUUGAAGUGGCUCUAUAAAUAGAGCACUUCAUUUGUGCAAAAGAGGGAUAUAAGAAGAAGAAAUAAAAGAGAAAUAUAUCUAAUAGCAAUAAUAUACAUUACUUCCUCAGCAACAGCUUGUGUUGGUAUAAUACUCUGCAACUGCUUCGUUCCUGUCCCGAGUAAAGGUUAUCUCUCUAUAAAUUUUGCCUAUUUAUAACACGUUAUCAGCACGAGUCUCUAAGUAUAACCAUGUCUCAUUUACAUUCACUAAACAAUAAAGGAAAUCAUUCUCUCUUUUCUCUCCGCCGAACGAAAAAAAAAAAAAAUGUUUCCUCUAAGGUUUUUCCUGUUCAUCUUCUUCAUCUGCCUCAACUGCGCGGUAUAUCCUCGUGACGAACUAUUUGCUCCAUGCCUGCUCGUAGUUCUCCAACUAGCGGUUACAUACAUCUUUGAUUACUUGUUUGGUUUGGAUAUUGAUUACUAACAUAGUAUUUAUAUUGAUUUUACUGCGAUCCAAGAUGGUGCGGUAUCAUCGCCUAUCUUGGACUGCAGAUCUACUUUUACUGCAAAUUUCAGGUGGAGCGGUAUAAUCGCCCUCCUUGCUCUCCAAAUUUAAAUUUACCUGUUAUUUAAUUUCAUUGCAAUUUUAGGUGGUGCGGUAUAAUCGCCCUCCUUGCUCUCCAAAUUUAAAUUUACCUGUUAUUUAAUUUCAUUGCAAUUUUAGGUGGUGCGGUAUAAUCGUCCACCCUGCUUUGCAUAUUUAAAUUUUAUCGCAAUUUUAGGUGGUGCGGUAUAAUCGUCCACCCUGCUUUGCAUAUUUAAAUUUUAUCGCAAUUUUAGGUGGUGCAGUAUAAUCGUCCACCUUGCUCUACAUAUUUAAAUUUUCCUGCUGUUUAAAGUAGUGCGGAAUAAUCACCCAUCCUAUACUUAUUUCGAUGAGAAUGGUGCGGUACAAUUGCCCUUCUCAUUAAUUGUGUAAAUCUCGAGCCUGAAGUUUCGAGUACUUAUCAUUUUGGCCUGAAGAUCAAAAAUUUGUAAGAACCAGAAGUUCUAACAAUAUAUUUCUCCAGUACACAUAUUACUGCAAGUUCUUACACACCUCAUUUUUCUUUCAGAAAAGAAAAUGGCAAACUUGGCAAAGCUUGAUUUUGCUGCCCUGGACAUUACUGGAAAGAAUUACCGUACAUGGGUACUGGAUACCAAGAUCCAUCUGGAAGCAGCAAAUCUUGGAGAAACCAUCAAGAAAGAGAGCAGCUCAUCCUCUCAAGAUCGGGCAAAGGCCAUGAUUUUUAUUCGUCGCCAUCUUGAUGAGGCACUAAAGAGCGAGUACUUAACGGUUAAAGAUCCGUUAGCCCUUUGGAAUGCCUUGAAAAGCAGAUACAAUCACCAGACAACGGUGAUUCUUCCAAAAGCUCGCUAUGACUCGACUCACCUAAGGAUCCAGGAUUUCAAAUCAGUGGCUGAGUACAAUUCGGCGUUGUUCAGAAUUACCUCUCAGAUGAAACUCUGUGGGGAUACUAUCACUGAGGAGAUGUUAUUGGAAAAGACUUUCAGCACAUUCCACGCCUCUAACAUGGUACUGCAACAGCAGUAUAAAGCGCGAGGCUUCACUGAAUACAACCAGCUGAUAUCUGUGCUCCUGGUAGCUGAACAGAACAAUGAGCUUCUCAUGAAAAACCAUAAUUCCCGACCUACUGGAUCAGCACCGUUCCCAGAAGUGAAUGUUGCUUCCCUUGAAAGGAAUACCAUAUCCUCCCGUGGCAAUAAUUACAAACGAGGAUGUGGCCACAAGCAAGGUCGGUGGAAAGGGAAAAGCAAGAACCAUGGUGUCCAGUUUCACAACCAGGUUCCAAGGUAUAAUCCAGGCCCGAGCUUUAAAAAUACCAAUCGCCAGAAAGGAAAAGCUCAUGUGAACACUCCUAGAAAUCAUGAAGGAGGUUGCCAUAGGUGUGGUGGCAACGGACAUUGGGCGCGUACUUGUCGCACCCCAAAGCAUCUGGUGGAACUAUAUCAAGCCUCCUUCAAGGAGAAGGGUGUCGAGAUCAAUUUCCUUGACCAGGCUAAACCAAUGGAAACCCCUGAUCCAGUGACCAAUUUAUCAGGACAAUUAAACACAACCCACCUGGAUGCUACAGACUUUAUUAAUGAAAGAGGGAAUGAAGUUUAUGGGUCCGAUUGAAUUAUUUAUGUUUAAUGUACUCAUGUUUUUUGUACCUGUGGUUUAAUGCUCGCAUUUUCAAUUCAAUAAAAGUAGUAUUCCAGUAUGAAUAAACUGCUUUUUCUUUACUCAGAGAUCAUGGAUAAAAAUUAUGGUUAUUCUCAAAACAAGAUCAAUGGCGGAGACUUUUGUCUUGCAGAUAGCGCAACCACGCAUUCAAUACUUCGAGAUCGAAAGUAUUUCUCGAAUUUGGUACUUGCAAAAGUAAAGGUAACAACAAUAUCAGGACCAUCAGAUGUAAUUGAAGGCUCAGGAAAAGCCCAGAUUAUGUUACCAAAUGGAACAAUAUUGUCUAUAAUGAAUGCAUUAUAUGCUACUCGGUCCAUUCGAAAUUUGUUGAGUUUUAAAGACAUACGUCUAAAUGGAUACCACCUUGAAACGAAAAUUGUAGAAAAUGUGGAAUAUUUAUGCAUUACCUCCAAUGAUACCCAGAAGCGUAUAUUGGAGAAGUUGCAUGGUUUAUCGAGUGGAUUGUAUUGUACAUACAUAAAGACAGUUGAGGCAUAUACUGUCAUGAACCAGAAGUUCAUUGAUUCAAAGGUUUACAUGCUUUGGCAUGACCGUCUAGGUCAUCCAGGAUCUACCAUGAUGCGUAGAAUCAUUACCAACUCUAAUGGACAUCCAUUACUGAGCAGACACAUUAAUGUCUCGAAUGAUAAACCUUGCAAGGCUUGUUCCCAAGGGAAGUUGGUAAUUAGACCAUCACAACUAAAGGUUGAUGAUGAAUCCCCAUCAUUUUUGCAAAGAAUUCAAAGGGAUAUUUGUGGACCUAUUCAACCACCUUGUGAACCAUUUCGAUAUUUUAUGGUUUUGGUUGAUGCAUCUACCCGAUGGUCACAUGUUUGCCUAUUGUCUACUCGAAAUGUAGCUUUUGCAAGACUUCUUGCUUAGAUAAUUAAGUUGCGAGCACAGUUCCCAGAUCAUCCCAUUAAGUCCAUUCGACUUGAUAACGCUGGUGAAUUUACGUCUCAAACCUUUGAUGAUUACUGUAUGGCAUUGGGCAUUGAUGUUGAACACCCUAUUCCUCAUGUCCAUACUCAAAAUGGUUUAGCAGAAGCAUUGAUCAAGCGGCUUCAAUUAAUAGUCCGCACUCUGCUUAUGAAAACCAAAUUGCCAGUUUCUGCAUGGGGACAUGCCAUUCUACAUGCUGCAUCAUUGGUUCGAUUGAGACCUAUAGCCAACCACCAAUACUCCUCAAUACAACUCAUGUUUGGACAUCAGCCAAACAUUUCACAUUUACGAGUUUUUGGUUGUGCUGUUUAUGUGCCUAUUGCACCCCCGCAACGCACUAAAAUGGGACCUCAGCGUAGACUGGGAAUUUAUGUGGGUUUUGAUUCACCAUCUAUUAUUAGAUAUUUGGAACCCUUGACAGGUGAUAUAUUUACAGCUCGUUUUGCUGAUUGUCAUUUUGAUGAGACAGUCUUCCCAUCGUUAGGGGGAGAAAAGACCGUUCCAGAAGAACGGAAAGAGCUGACAUGGGUUGUUCCCACCUUAUCUCAUUUUGAUCCUCGAACCCUUCAAUGUGAAAAUGAAGUGAAAAGGAUCGUUCAUCUUCAAAGCAUUGCCAAUCAAAUGCCAGAUGCAUUUAAUGACGUUAUGAAAGUGACAAAAUCGCAUAUACCAGCUGCAAAUGCACCUGCCAGAAUUGAUGUCCCUGUUGGACAAAAUAAAGUGGCAGCGAAUGAUUCAUCUGGUGCACGCCUGAAGCGUGGUAGACCACCAGGUUCAAAAGAUUCAGCCCCUCGGAAGAGAAAGACGAGAGCACAACUGAAUCCAAAUGAAAUCAUUCAGGAAGAGAGAGUAAAUGACAAAUCCACAAUUCAUGACUCUGGACUUCCAGAAGAAGAAAAUGGCCCUGAAGAGACAGAAGUACAUGAAAGCAAAGAAAUCUCCAUAAACUAUGCAUGUACUAAUGAAUUGUGGGAUCGGAAUGAAAUAAUCAUUGACGAUAUGUUUGCAUUCGCAGUAGCCACUGAAAUCAUAUUAAGUGAUGAUAUUGAGCCCCGCUCUGUUGAUGAAUGCAAACAGAGACAAGAUUGGCCUAAGUGGAAAGAUGCAAUCCAGGCAGAAUUAAAUUCCUUGGAAAGGCGAAGUGUUUUUGGACCAGUAGUCCAAACCCCAACUGAUGUAAACCCCGUAGGUUACAAAUGGGUAUUUACAAGGAAACGCAAUGAGAAAAACGAGAUUGCUAGAUACAAAGCACGACUCGUUGCACAAGGCUUUUCACAAAGACCUGGAAUUGAUUAUGAGGAGACAUACUCUCCUGUAAUGGACACAAUUACGUUCUGUUACUUAAUAAGUUUGGUGAUUUCAGAAAAACUUGACAUGCGACUUAUGGAUGUCAUCACCGCGUAUCUAUAUGGAGAAUUAGAUACUGACAUAUUCAUGAAAGUCCCAGAAGGACUUAAGUUGCCUGAAGCAACAAACAAACCAUGGGGUAUGUUCUCAAUCAAAUUAAGGCGAUCACUAUAUGGGCUGAAACAAUCUGGGCGAAUGUGGUAUAAUCGUCUCAGUGAGUAUUUGAUUAAAGAAGGAUAUAUCAACAAUGUCAUCUGCCCUUGUGUGUUCAUUAAGAAAUCCAACUCUGGAUUUGCUAUAGUGGCAGUAUAUGUUGAUGAUAUGAACUUAGUUGGGACUCCUGAAGAGCUCCAUAAAACUGCUGAAUAUCUGAAAAGCGAAUUUGAAAUGAAAGACCUUGGGAAAACCAAAUAUUGUCUAGGCCUGCAGAUCGAGCAUUGUGUUAGUGGAAUUUUGGUCCAUCAAUCAGCUUACAUUGAAAAAAUACUGAAGCGAUUUGGCAUGGACAAGGCUUAUCCACUUAGCACCCCAAUGGUCGUUCGUUCUUUAGACAUUAAGAAAGAUCCAUUCCGUCCAAAGGAAGAUGAUGAACUGGUCCUUGGUCCAGAAGUACCAUAUUUGAGCGUAAUAGGUGCUUUAUUGUAUUUAGCACAAUGUACUAGACCAGAUAUAGCUUUUUCAGUUAACUUGUUAGCCAGGUACAGCUCUGCUCCAACAAUUCGUCAUUGGAAGGGAGUCAAAGAUGUUCUACGAUACCUUCGUGGGACAACAGAUAUGGGUCUCUUCUAAUCAGACAAGCCCACAAAUGAACAAAUCCUUGUUGGAUACGCAGAUGCUGGUUUUCUCUCCGAUCCGCAUAAAGCCCGCUCACAAAAUGGAUAUGUGUUCACUAAUGGAGAUACUGCAAUUUCAUGGCGAUCAACGAAGCAAACGCUAGUUGCAACAUUUUCCAAUCAUUCGGAAAUAAUUGCUCUACAUAAAGCAAGUCGUGAAUGUUCUUGGUUAAGAUCAAUGAUCCAUCACAUCUGGAAUUCAUGUGGUCUACCUUCAAAGACAGACACUCCAACUGUCAUCCAUGAAGAUAAUGCAGCCUGUGUCGCCCAGAUGAAGGAAGGAUUUAUCAAAGGUGAUAAGACUAAACACAUAUCUCCAAGAUUUUUCCGCGCACAUGAGCUUCAGAAGGCUAAAGUUAUUGAAGUCAGACAAAUCCGUUCCAAUGAAAAUUUAGCAGACUUGUUCACCAAAUCUCUACCAAAGUGCACAUUUCAGAAGUUGGUACAGGGAAUCGGAUUACGUCGGCUUACGGAUUUGAAGAAUGCGGAAUCAGGGGGAGAUACAAUUCAGGGGGAGCAUCCAUGAUACAUGCAUGUUGUACUCUUUUUCCUUCGCUUAGGACUUUUCCCACUGGGUUUUUCCUAUCAAGGUUUUAACGAGGCAACCUAAGCAUGCUCAACACCAUCCGGGUAAAGUUGUACUCUUUUUCCUUCGCUAUGGUUUUUUCCCACAGGGUUUUUCCAAGCAAGGUUUUAAUGAGGCAACUGAUGUUGAUAUGUGGGCAUCCAAGGGGGAGUGUUGUAAAUAAUGGGUAUGUUUGCCCACAUGUGUGUACUAUAUACUCACAAGCUAAAUAGUAAUGUUUUGUAAUUUUCCAUUGAAGUGGCUCUAUAAAUAGAGCACUUCAUUUGUGCAAAAGAGGGAUAUAAGAAGAAGAAAUAAAAGAGAAAUAUAUCUAAUAGCAAUAAUAUACAUUACUUCCUCAGCAACAGCUUGUGUUGGUAUAAUACUCUGCAACUGCUUCGUUCCUGUCCCGAGUAAAGGUUAUCUCUCUAUAAAUUUUGCCUAUUUAUAACUAUGCUUUGUUUAUUGGAUAUUUAUAAUAUUAUACAAUUCCAAUUACUUUAGUCUAAAGUAGGAAAUCCAAUUGCAUUGUUCAACUUCAACUGAACAGUGUUUUGGACCGAAUUUCACUUUAUUUACAAAAUUUCCACCACCCCUAUCUGUCGUUCAAAUUUUGCUUAUAUCUUUGUGCAGUGUGUCUGUUGUAUUAUCUGGUCACAGAUACCUUAGUUCAGUAAUUUGAGAAGCAUGGGGAGACAAUAGACUAAUCAAAGAGAUGCAUGUGAUCAACGAUAAACAAGUAAGCAUCAUCCUCUUCCUUCUUUUGUUAUGAUUCGUUGUAUAGAGAAUUGAGAAAAAAGUUGAAGACAAUUCCGCGCUUUUGAGUUAUAGCAAUUAAUAUCUAAAAUGACAUUGAUUAGUUCACUUAAGUGUUGAAUCCUUCGUUAGUUUAUCUAUGGUGUGUGCUUGAGAAUGAAAGCAAUGGACAUUAUAUAGAAUUGAUGUUCCUUUUAAUGUCAGUAAAGAAAGGAGUUGUUCCUUUAUUAGCAAUUAUAUGAAGUAGGCAUAUUAUACAAUGUCUACAAUCGACUAUUUUACUUUUUGUAUAUAAGUAAAAAUGUUGAUCGAAAGCCACAAAAACUACCUAAGGGCCGAAGAACUGUUUAUGUUAGAAGAACAGAAUAUGGUGUAAAGCUUAAAUUUUGGGCACUUCAAAAUAUGUUUUUUUUUUCAAUUAUAAUAACUUGCAUGAAAAUUCAAUUGGGUUUGUUCUAGUCUCCAAGAAUUUUGCUUUGUUUGGUUACUAAUUAAUUUAUGUGGUGGGAGUUUAGUUUUUCCUUUUCUGCCUAUGUAUAUAUAAUUCGAAAUGGACCGUUCAAUUUGCUAUAUAUAAAUUUGUAAUCGAAAAGCUCGAAAAAGAGGUGAAUAAAAAACAAUGGUGGUAGAGUGAUGGAGUUGAGGAGUUGAGAGUUUACAGGGUUUACUUGAAUUUUUGUAUGAUGUCCCUGGUAUGUUAGAUCAUUGAAACUAACUGUCUGGUUGAUUAAUCACUAAUUUGAAAUAUUUAAAGUGUAACUUUUCUUUAAUUCACUUUUCUUUUGUAUUUUCAUUGGAGUGCAGAUAAAAGAUAUUUCUUUUAUCUUUUUCAACCACAAACUUUCCGAUGUCUUUUGAGAGUGGUCCAACUAGAGUAUUGGAUGACAAGUUUAGGUUUAAUAUAUACUUGAGUUCCCACAAGGAAGAUGGUAUUUUAGAAGUUAACAAAUUGGACCCUAACGAUAGACUUCUUAGAGAUACGUCCUCCCAGUUUGUAGCCUUUGUAUUGAAGUUGGAAUUGCUUCGCUCAACUGAUUAUUUCCCAGGCUUAAAUCUAUCAAGUUGUUGAAGUUACCAAUAUCAACGAGAAUGUUACCGUUGAUGUUGGAAAUGCUUAAAUCAAUAGUUAGGAGUGACGUAAAGAUAUGCUAACAGUUUGGGUCUUUUACGACUUGAAAUAUACGGCGUACAGACCGGCAUGCCUUAAAUGAUAUUAUUCAUGACAUUCAUAAAGUUCAUAUCGUAAUACUUACGCAUAAUCUCGUAUUCACAACAUCACUUUUAUGCAAGUAGUUAAAUAAAAAUAUUUAUGACUUAAGCGUUGUCUAUCGUAUCUCACAAUCCCAUAGUAUUCAAUCUACAACUUUCAUUUACCUCACAUAUCUCAGGUUUUGUCUAUCUCUCUCUGCCUCUCUCACGCAGUCUCUCUCUCGACUUUCACUCUCUCAGAUUCGUAUCUCCCAAUCCCAGCGGCCUCGAUAUCUCUCUCGUCUCCAACCACGAUACCACCAUCAUCUCCUGUCAACUCUCGACUCUCUCCCACCACCUGCACUUGACGGUCCUGACUCCUGACCACCAUCUAUGUUCCAAAUAAGGUAUGCAGUUAGGGAUUUAAGAUUGAAAUAAAUUGGGGUUUUCUAGAUUUAGGGAUUUGGAUUUGGUCAAUUCUGGAAUCAAAUGUUAAUUAUAAUUUGUUUAAUUUUGGCAAUUUGAGUGCAAAAUUAGGGUUUUGUUAUUUCAAGUGUUGACAGUAAGACCCUUUGUCAAUUAGUAACCACUUAGUGCUUGUUUUCGAUCUGUCAUUGAAUACGAAAUCACGACUUUUAAUUUUUCAUUUUACAAGUCAUCAUAAGGAAUAGAUAAUUCUAGAAUUAUAGUGCAAACUCUUGAUUUUCAGUUUCAGACUUGGUUUUGUUUCAGAAUUCUGAGGAAUUUUAAUCAUGGUGUUGGGGAUUUGUUAAUUUUGCUCUCUCGCUCUCUCUCGCUCUCUCUCUCUCUCUCUCUCUAUGAUUUGGUUGGGAUUGCAGAGUGACUUGGGUUUCUUUGUAUGCAUGUCCCGGACCUCCAGGUCACAUGGGGUACUUAGCAAGGUUUUACUUUUGCAAAGGAGAUGGAGAUGUUACAGACUUACAGUGAUACUGCAAUCCAAAUAAUCUGUUUUGAAAAUCCAAAUAAUCUGUGAGUAUGUUGUAGCAGUAGAAUAACACUGUGGGGCUUAGCCUAGUACUUAAAUUAUUGACUUUGUUGCUUAGGAUAAUUUGAUUGAGUUCCUUUGGUAUGAUUUAUAUUCACUUAUUUAUUCUAUUUAUUUUUACUAUUUUUCAGGUAGCAUUCAAGUCUUUGGUGAAAUUUUAAACGAAGAGGUUGCAAAUGCAGCGGUAAUGAGUGGAAAAGUUUAUACUUACUUUUAUUAGUAUUGAAGUCUUUAUCAAUUUCUAAGUUAACAUUUUGUUUUGACUAGCUCGUAACUUACCAAUCGAAUCCAUCCCCUUUGACUAGCUAGAGUAUCUUGGUUGGGAACUCUAUCUGUUCCCAGCGCCUAGUAUCCAAAGAUGAAGUUGAGACGGGUUGGGAACUCUCUCUUUCUCUCCUUUUGUUUUAGUUCCCAAGAAAGUUGAUUGGAUUGAAGAAAAUGGAACAAAAAGAAAUGAAAAAAAAAUUGAAAUUUGUUGGUGCUUAUGUUGAUGUUGAAUUUGUAAUAUAUUAAGACCCAAAAACUAGAUAAAUGGCUAACUUUGAUGUAAAUUGAUAACAGCAAGCCACUAGGUCAAAAAACAGUGAGUCUUACCUUAGAGCUUUUGGGGAUAUCAUAAUUGAUAACCAUAUCCACCGAUCGAAUAUCCAAUCUUGUACUUGCCGCAUCAAUUCUUCAUGCAUGAAAUGUUAAGAGACUCAUAAAUUUAUCUACUUGCAAGUAUAUGAUUUUUAUGCAGGUUAUAGGAAACAAUAAAAUCGUAAAGGCAUAAUUUGUGUAUAUUUUAGUCAUUUGAUACAUGUAUGAGUGUAAAACAAUAAAACUGUGAAGGCAUAAUUUGGGAUAUAGGUUUGUAUGAUAGUGAUUAGUUUUUCUUUCAGUAUCACUUUUCUUACUUGAGAUUAAAUGUGUAUUUCUACAUAUAGCAGCACAAUAGAUUUUUUUUUGCUCCAUGUGCUUAUGUCUAUGCAGAUAGAGAUAGCAAUUAGUGUGGUUCAAGCAUUAGGAGCAGUAUUUCAUUCUCAAAGGACUUUGUUUGAAGGUGUUCAAUGAAAAGUGAAGUCUUUCAAGUGACAAAUUUCUUUGUUAUUAGAGGCCUAUUUGGUAUUUCAUGUGUAGUUUGAUAUUGACCUUAGCUUUGUUCAACUUGUAAUACAUUUUGACAAUAUGAUUAUUUAUGAUUAUGGUAAAUGUGUAAUUUUGUCAAUUCUUAUAUAUAUAUAUAUAUUAAUUGUUGAUGUUAGUCUCCAUUUAUGAUGUACGACGUAUGCCGUAAUUGCUUUCACAGUAUUACGACACUAAACAAACGUUGUAUCAAAUAUAAAUUACGGCACACAGGUAUGCCGUAAUUGUUUUUGCAGUAUUACGACACUUCAUUAACACCGUAUCUAAUACCAAUUAAGGCGCGCAAGGCAUGCCUUAAAGAGUAUUUACAACGUGUUUUGCUUAAAUUAUUCACGGCUACUAUAGAACGUCGUAUUUGACAAAACAUCUUUUAUGACAUGGGUUUUUACUGCUUGGGGGCUCACGCUGUGAAUAAUCGUUUACGGCGCUCUUUGUGCACCACAAAAGACUAGUUAUGUUGUAGUGAUAUUAUGUAACAAAUGCUCAAUUUUCUUUUGCACUCUUUUAUGAAUUUCAUUUGGAUGGGAAUGGUUACGUGACAUUACUUGUUACACCAGAAAAUGUCUGGUUUUGGUAUAAAGACUUAACUGCAAAAAGGCAUCUGAAAGGUUUCGUUUAGCUACUAAGAAAGUUUGGGAGGGGUCAAACGUCUUAGGUUGAGAUUACAUAUACAAGGGUGUUAGAUUUACAUAAUGGGUUUACAUAAUGAGUUGUUGAUGACUACAUACACAUUGAGAAUUUAGCUUAUGUCUUUGUGUCCGAUGAGGGAGUGGUUUUUUUUUUUUUUUUUUUUUUUUUUUUUUUUUUUCGGGUGUCAUUCCAUUUUAAUCUUAGUUCCAUUCAAAUGAAGAUAUUUAAAGAACCUAACGUAAAACAUCUGUACAAGCAAAACACAUCUUAGCAACGCCAAUAAAAUUAUCUACGAGAGUUGAUCCAAUCCAGGCAAGCCGCACGGUGGGUUAUUGAGGACAAAGCUGCCGAGAUCCAUAUUAAAACUCCAAUUUGGCAACUGAUGAGCAACACAAUUCCGCUCCCUAGAUACAUGCUUCAUGCUUCAGCUCAGCUCACAUCUAACCAAUUGACUCAUCAAUGUUUUGCAUAUGCUCACAAUUGUAUCAAGAGGAUAAUAACUAUCAACCAAAUUUUGUUAGAACAAAGUGACAGCAAACACCUCUGUCAAUAAAAUCUCCUUAUCCCAAAUGGACGCAGAUUGUCUGCCCUCCUAGUUGUGGUGCCGUUCCAUGCCCUCCUAUUUUGUGCGGUUACGGUUAAACCACAUCAACAUUUUAUAUUAAUUUUUUAAUGAGAUAAUAAGACAAAAAAUAAUAAAAAUAUAAAAUAUUGACGUGGCUUAACCGUGGCUGCACAAAAUAGGAGGGCAUGGAAGGGCACCACAACUAGGAGGGCAGACAAUCCUUGUCCAUCCCAAAUUGGCUGAGAACUCUACCCACACCAAUAUUGAACCAUCAACGUCAAGCUUUCACCCAGUUCUCGACUUUUUGCGUGUUUACUACAAGUAUGGAAUCUGAAGGGCUAGUUGAUUCGUAGCUCAAUACUUGAAAAUUAGGAGUCAAAUCAAAAUGUUUAUUUUUUAUUGGUAACACAUUUGCAAAUUUGGUUUAAAAAUUAAGUUACCUGAUAUUAUCCUAAUAUAAAUAUCUUUUGACAAAUAAAAAAUGCAUACAAAGAUAAAUUUGAGUGGUGAUAUCCACACACUCAUUUUUACCUUUCACACACCUUUAUUAUUUCCCGGGCUGUUGAACAAUUGAAACAAUCAAAUAAUAUAAAUUAAUAAGUGAUGUGUGAAAAAUAGAAAUAAGCGUGUGAAGAGCCACAAAACUAAACAGAUACCCAAAAAUACCACAACACACAAAGUCAGUCGUUACAUUUCAGUUGCAAAUGAAAAUUAUGAACACUGGGAUUUGCUCUCUCUAUCGCUGAGAGAUUCUCUGUUAUUGAUGGCAAUGGCGGACAAUGGCAGUCGUCUGCAAAUGCAUAACAUCGAGGAGGAGCUUCUUCUGCUUCAGAGCAGUCAGUUUCGACGACAAGCCCGACCGCCGAAACCUCCUCCGAAACGUUUUGACCCUUCCCGUCUUUAAAAAAGGCCUCUUCACUUGCUGCAGCCCAUCCCUUGCCGGAAGCAGUAUUCUCAGGUUUAUCUCACACAAUUACGGGUUUUUCCCGUUUUCUUUUGAGUUGCACGGUCUGUUUGGUUCCCCAGAAAACGCAGGAAAUUUUUGAAAGUUUUUGAGCUUCUGUAGGGUUUACUAAAGUGAAUACUUGACUAGGUUCAGUUGGGUUGCUGAUAAAUUCAAACAACGAAAUUUAGACGCGAAUGCUUUUAAUUGAUUUGAAGAGAAGUUUCUGAGCUAGUUUAUUGCUUUUGAAUGUUCAAAUUGGAUCCUAUAAAUGUGUCUGUGUGAUAAUUAGAUGAUUUGUUGCUUGCAGUAUGGAAGCACGAGAGAAUUCCAUAUAUGUGAUGAUGCCAGUUGAUGCCUUUUGCAUUGAUGGUACAGGGCGUCCAAGGAUUAGGAAGUAAGGUCAUCUCCAACCGAAGGGUCCAGAGGGCCAGAGGGCCGAAAAUAGCCCUAAAACCGUCUCCAACCGAGGGCUAGGCCAGAGGGCUCUGGAAUCUGGGAGGGCCCCACGGGAUCGGAGAGGGCUGGAGGGCUGGCUGCUUUCGGCCAGCCAGCCAGCCCCGGGCUGGCUUAUUUUUUUUUUAAUAGUUCUACUAUUAGUGUCGGUUAUAACCGACACUAAUAGUUUGAAUGUUUUUUAAUACAACGGCUAGUAGCCGUUGUAUUAUUAGGCCUUUUUUUUUUUUUUUUUUUUUUUAACUUUUUAUUUUCCCUUUUUUUUUCCUUUUCAUAUUAAUCAAAUUUUGUUUCAUAUUUUUUUUCAAUUCUAUUUUACAAAAUUUGUUUCAAUUUUUUUUUAAAUUCUAUUUUUUUCCUAUAACUUCUAUUUUACAAAAUUUGAUUCAUAUUUUAUUUCCUAUAACUUCUAUUUUACAAAAUUUGAUUCAAAAUUUGUUGACGUCACCUAGCCGUUAGAUUUGAAUUUAAAUUGUAGUUUUUAAAUAAUAAAUUAUGUUUGGCCCUAUGGCCCUUUGGCCCUCGGUUGGAGACGGUUUUUUGUGACAGGGCUAAAACGAGCCCUCUGGCCCUCUGGCCCUCGGUUGGAGACGGAGGCAAAUAUGGCCAUGUACUGUUUAUUAAAAUAUUAAUAUCUUGGAGAAUCUUGGAGGGCCAGAGGGCUAAAACGAGCCCUCUGGCCAGUCAUCGGUUGGAGAUGGCCUAAGUUUUAUUAUGACUUUAUGUUGAUGAGGCUAUGAUGCAUUUUCAUUCUUAAUUUAAUUGUUGUACUCUUUUAAACGACAGAAUAUGAUUAGCUACAAGGUUGCAGCUAACUAUUUUGAUCUGUUCCCAAUUCAAGUUAUGUACGCGUACAUUUCAAAAUGGUUCUAAAUAAAAUUUAUUUUUAAUUUAGUUUCCUUUCAAGUGAGACAGAAUCUCCUUAUAUAUUGCACGAUUUAUUGUUGUUUCAGAAUCAAGGCCUUAACUGUAGCUCUGAAAGCACUCAAGUUGGCUGGUGUCCACGGAAUUGCAGUUGAGGUUUGGUGGCCUCUUGCAUAUGAUUGGUCUCUAUAUGAAGGGCUUUUCAAACUGAUUUCUGACUCAGGUUUGAAGUUGCAUGUUGCCUUGUCUUUUCACUCAAACGUUAACUCUUCUUCUAGCAGAAAAGGGGGUGUAACUCUUCCGCUUUGGAUCAUAGAGGUUUGUUUUCUCGGCAAUUUUGAAAUCCCAUUUGACUGUUUGGCCUUUUAUUGGUAAAAGUGCACAUGGCUGUACUGGAAUGAUUAAUUUACCCAGUCAUACUCUUUUGUGACAACAUAAGAAACAUAACCCAUUUGGAUGACUAGAGAUAGUAUCAACUUUUCUUCAGUUUCCUGCUCUGCAACAUGCUAUGGUCCUGUGUUCCCCAUUAGCAUACUUGAUUUUAGCUUUGAUGUGCAUAAAAAGUUUAUCUUUGCAAAGGGAUGUAACAGAAAAAUGAUAGUUUGGCCUUCAUUACAUGCCCAUCAGUUUGAAUCCUGAAUUUAGAUAAAGAAGUUGACCUCUUCUGUUUUUUUUUUCCUCCCAGAUUGGUGAUCAGAAUAAGCAUAUAUAUUAUCGGGACCAAAAUGGAUUUUCCAAUGAUGAUUAUCUUACACUUGGAGUUGACCAUGUUCCUCUCUUUUGCGGCCGGACUGCUCUCCAAUGUUAUGAAGAUUUCUUGUCAGGUUUUGCUAAGAAAUUUGAAUCCUUAAUUGGAACUGUGAUAGAAGAAAUUGGUGUUGGUCUUGGAUGUUACUGUUACACUAGAACCACAAGUAUGAAGCCAGUCCAAUGAUUUCUUAUGCAACAUUGUUACAUUGCUCACACUGAUAUCCUGCACAUCCUUUUGGUGAUGGUAGAUGGAAGUUUCCUGGAAUCGGUGAAUUCUAAUGCUAUGACAAGCGCAUGUAUGCUAAAAAUCUUUCAUUCCUGUGACAGAAAUUUGGUUGCUAUUGAACUUUUCCUAUUUACAACGUUGUUCCUUUUAGGAUGGGCGACCUAAAGAUGGCUGUAGGCAAGGAAGGAAAGCCUCAGUGGGGAGGGAAGGGACCACAAAAUGCUGGCUGUUACAACAGUCUCCCAUCUGAAGUUCCAUUCUUUGAAGAGGGAGAGGAAAGCAUUCUUUCUGAUUAUGGGUGUUUUUUCCUUGUAUGAAACUGAUGGAAGCAUCUUGCUUUAUUAUUUCCCAUGAAAAAUUUCUGCAUAACUGAAGCCUAGUGUAAAUUGCAUGAAAUCAUUGUUUGUAUUUCAUCCUCGAACUACCACAUUGUUUCUUUAGCCAGGAAACACUUCUGUGUACGUGCCUGUAAACAACAUGGGCCUGCAAUAUAUAUUUUCAAUCUUUAGUGGAACUUUUCUUAUAACUAACUCUAUUUGCUUCUAGGGGUUAUACUUGCAGACUGUUUGCUACUGGAGUCUUAAAUACUCUUACGCAACAUGAUUAAAAGUAGAUGCAAUUUGAUUAAGAAUGAAAUGCAUUGAUGCUUGUCUUCUGGAAAGAAAAAAAAAUCAUCAUAGGAUGUACUGGUUAGUAAACUAAGGACAAUUAUGGAUGUAUAAGUGGAAAUUUAAAUCAUGUAUGGUUCUUUAUCAUGCAAUACUUGGCAUAACAUAAUUAAACUUAUUGGAAAACAAUGUGGAGCUUAGGAGAUCUGACAGUGGCUUGACUUGUUGUAGGAAUGGUACAGUGGUCGGUUGCUCCAUCAUGCAGAUGAUAUUCUUGCAAAGGCAGCUAACAUUCUGAAGAAAUAUCAAGAAUAGAAGCAAACUUCUAUUCUAUUGGCAGCUAAAAUUGGUGGUACCAGAUGAGAGCACAGCCUGCUGAAUUGACAGCUUGAAACUACAGCAGUGCUCUUAAAGAUGGUUAUGAUCAUGUUGCUUCAAUUUUGUCUCGUCAUGGAGCUGCUUUGCAUGUUUCGUAAGAUUCCAAGUUUUAAGGUUCUGACUAGAAUUUUGUUCAUUGUCUAACCUGAUAAUUAGGGUUGCUUACACAUUCGCUUGAUUUCAAAUGUAUCUAUCUACCAUGUUCACGUACUAAAUAUUUUAUUGCAGCAGCUUAGAAAUGAUGGAUGGUGAUAACCCGGCAUCCUAUCUUUGCAGUCCAGAAGGAUUACUCCAACAGGUACGGGGCCUGUUAAUUAAUAACACUUCCUUAGCUUGUGCUUUGUUGGUACUUUUUUUAACUUACUUUAGAAAUUUUAUCUGUAUAAUUCAAGCUUUUAAGUUAGGUAGGACUAACCCAUGUAGCUGUGCUUGUCACAGCAGGUCGUGCAGGGUCUCUAGGUUCAACAUGGGCUUGGAACGGGCCAAUAUGAGCUUUUUCAGUAUUACAGAUAUUAGGUAUUGUUGAUAUGUUUUUUAGGCUUCUUUUAGUGUCUUAUAAUUCAUUCUGAAGUAAAUCUUUAGUUUUAAUUGGGUUGUCUUGCCCAGAUAAUAAAGAAGAAACAUAUGACAAGUUGAUCAAUAACCAUUUUUCUGUUUUAUUGAAGUUUGGAAUAUAAUUGAUAAUUUGAUAUUACUAAACAACAAAAAUAGAAUUGCAUCACUAUACCGUAUAUUAGUGUCGUACUACUUUAGAUUGGCAUGGUCUGUCCAUUUACACUGGUGGGUGGUGGUAGUGCCUAGUGGUGGCUUCUGUUGUCUAGAAUUCUAUCGGUCAUUUGGUUUCUUCGAUAAAAUGUCUGACCUUAUGCUUUGUUUAUUGGGUAUAUAUCAUAUUAUACAAUUCCAAUGUAGUCUAACAUGAUUCGAUUUGCACCAGAUAUGGAGUGUUUCAAAGAAAUGGGCACAUUUGAUCGGGAGAAAUACCAAUGAAGGAUUUGACAGGGUCAGUUCUUCCUUUGCUCAAGAACAAAAGCAAAUUUCAGCUACCAUUUAUUUCUAUUAGACAUAUAUUGGAGACUUGGGAGCAGCCUCUCCAUAAAUGGAGAUAAGGUUAGCCGACAUUCACCUCUCCCAGACCCUGCGUAAAGCGGGAGCCUUGUGCACUGGGUACGACCUUAGACAUAUAUUGGAUAUUGCAAAUGUCUUAUAACUAGAAACACAUGGCUUCUGAUAGCGUUAGUUAAACACUUCUUCUUUUGCCCAUUCUGUGUUGCGCGUUCACGCGUCUGCUUUUCUCUUGCACGUUGGUUUAUGGCAAAUACAUACUAACUAUUACCAUUCCCAGGCCGAAGCUGUAAGAUCAUUUACAUAUUUCAGAAUGAAUGAUAAGAUCUUUAGGGCUGAAAAUUGGAGUAAUUUCCUUCCUUUUGUUAAAAAGAUGAGCACAAAUUGGUGAAGCAACCAAAAAACCCAACUUAAAUACUAAAUUUAUUGAUCUAGAGUAGCAGCCUCACUACCCUAUAAUUUUUUGUCAAGGGCAUGUGUAGAAGUUAAGAAGUUUGUCACUUCCUGAUAUAUUGACUGAAAUAACUUUGUGUUUCCAUGGCAGGCGUUCUUGACCUGGAAGUGUAAAUUUUUGAAACGGAUUUGGUUGGCCGUAGAAACUAAAUGCUUUACUAUCAAAAUACGAGAAGAAUAAUUGGAAUUGCAAUCUUGGUACUACUGGUCACAUUGCCUAGUCAAAUACAGGUACAACAUUUCAAUUUAAGGAAUAUACACAUACUGUCAUAUCCGUCACUAUACGAAAAUAAUGUAGUCUUUGCAGAUCGAAAACAACAAUAAGAAAAUGGAUCCGAAAAUAUAGAGAACAAAAAGAACUAAGAGUUCACUCCUUCACAGUCCUUCAAAUACUUAGUCUUGAUUUUGGUGAGUGUGAUUGCAGCAUCUUCUUCACAGUCCUUCAAAAACUUAGUCUUGAUUUUGGUGAGUGUGAUUGCAGCAUCUUUCAUGUUAAUCCUCUCUCCCGGCAAUGCUGCAGUACAAGCUAAAGCUAAUCUCAUAACGGAUGAUAAGCAAUCCCUCUUGCUCACAAAAUCACCAUCUUCCUCCGCCCCAAGUAUAUCGGCAUCCACAACUUCACCUAUUGCAGCAUCUGGAAAUAAUGAAUCUGCAAUCCAUUGCUUUAAAUUCAUUUCCCCAACAAACAUCUCAUCCGUUGGCUUCCUUUUUGUGAAUGUCUCCAUGAGUACAAUACCAAAACUAUACACAUCCCCUCUUGUCGAAACGCUUCCUUCCAUCCCAAACUCUGCAAAAUUUGUAUGUGAAUUUAGUUAUAUAUGAUAAAAAGAAAAUUAUAACUCCUAAUAAGACCAACAUAUACAAAAUUGAGAAAAUACAUCACCUGGAGCCAUAUAUCCAACUGUGGCUAGGGUCAUGGUUUCUGUCAUCGAAUGUCCACCGCCGAUGAGUCUUGCAAUGCCAAAAUCAGCAACAUGUGCAACCAUAUCAUCAUCUAGUAGUAUAUUGCUUGGUUUCACAUCACAAUGAACAAUAGGUACCGAGUAACCAUGAUGAAGAUAUUCCAGUGCCAAUGCAACAUCUUUCAUUACGUCCAGCCUCUGCAGGAUAUUCAUGGAGCUGUUUGGAGAAUACAACCAGUUUUCGAGGCUUCCAUUAGGCAUCAAUUGAAGUAUCAGGGCUUUGAAAUCAAGUUCAUCGCAGCAACUUAUGAUUUUAAUAAGAUUCCGGUGACGGAUAUUGCUUAGCAUUUCACAUUCCCUAUCAAAACUUUUGAAUGCCCCUUCUACCUGUAAAUUGAAAACCUUGACGGCAAUGUCUAUCCCGUAUGAAAGUGUUCCUCUGUAUACUGAGCCAAAACCCCCCGUGCCUAGUAAGUUACUCUCGUGAAAUCCAUUUGUCGCAUUUACAAGUUCUAGGCGCGAAACUCUUCUCCAAAGAACUUGAUGUAGCGAGGCAGUUUCUCUUACAACUUCGACAUUCCUUUUGUUGCAUAGUAUCAGAAUCAAUGCAGCGGCCGCUAGGAGUAUUACUGGUAUGACCCCUGAGAUGAUAUAUUUAGCUUUCCUCCAAUUUGGCUUAACUUUUGUUCUAUUUUUGCACAGGGGAACAUGGAGUCGGGAAGCACCGCAGAGCGCACCGUUGGAUACAAAUGAAUCGGCAGAGAAGUUUCCGAAAGGCCCGCCGGUUGGAAUUUCUCCUUGGAGUUUGUUGAAAGACAAAUUCAGAUGCUUGAGAUACAAGAGUGCUUCCAAUGACUUUGGGAUCUCUCCAGAUAGAUUAUUUUGGGACAAAUCCAAGAAUUCUAGGCUUAGCAAGGUUUUAAAUGAACUGGGAAUAGGGCCUUGUAAAUAAUUGUUUGCCAAGGACAAAUUAAUCAUAUUUUGAAGACCACCAAUGCUACCGGGAAUGUUUCCGGAGAAGUGGUUAUUUGAUAAAUCUAUAUCCACCACUUCUUUCAACUUUCCGAUGUCUUCUGAGAGUGGUCCAACUAGAGAAUUGGAUGACAAGUUUAGGUGCAAUACAUACUUGAGUUCCCACAAGGAAGAUGGUAUUUUUGAAGUUAACAAAUUGGACUCUAACGAUAGAUUUCUUAGAGCUACUGCCAAACCACCCAAGCAGGAAGGAAUAGAACCAGAGAGCCGAUUAUGACCCAAACCUAACUCGGCUAGGUUGGUUAGUUGACAGAGUUCAUACGGGAUAUGUCCUUGCAGUUUGUUAUCAUACAGAAACAAACCUUGGAGAUUUUUUAGCCUCUGUAUUGAUGUUGGAAUUGCUCCACUCAACUGAUUGAUUUCCAGAUGUAGUUCUAUCAAGCUGCUCAAGUUGGCAAUAUCAACGGGAAUGUUACCCCUGAUGUUGGAAAUGCUUAAAUCAAAAUAUGUGAGUGGCGUAGAGAGAUUCCCACGAAAAGCUGGAAUCGUGGUGUUUAAUGGAUUACCUCCCAAGUCUAAUUUUGUCAAAUUUCUAAGAUUAAACAAGCAAGAGAGAGUAGAAGCAUCAAUCGUCAAAUGAUUCCAGAACAAGAAAAGAAGCUCGAGGUUUUUCAAGGAACAGAGCGUGCUAGGAAGAAACCCGGUAAAUGAGUUUGUGUCCAUGGCUAGGACCCUGAGCUUGGAAGCAUUGGAGAAGUUAGGGAGUGUCCCGGCCACGAGGUUAUUGGAGGAUACAGAAAAGAAUUCUAGGUUUGGAACAUUAAGACCUAUGUUUGCUGGGAGGCCACCUGAGAGCUGAUUUAAAGUAAGCGAUAUUACUCUAAUCAUGGAGUUAUUGAAGAGCUUGGAUGGGAUGACACCAUUGAGAUUAUUAGCACCCAAUCUCAAAACCUCUAACUGCGGAAGAUCACCAAUCUCAUCCGGUAUUGUACCUAUCACAAUGUCAGCACGUUUGCAUUAACUUUGUAACUUCGGUUUAUCUAAAAACUAAAAACGAAAUGAUUGUAAAACGCCCCCAAAUUUAUUACCUGUUAAAUUAUUGAAACGAAGAAAAAUCUCGGUUAAGUAGGUCAAAUUGCCAAGACUUUUGGGUAUGCUCCCACGGAAAUUGUUAGACUCUAAUGCAAUUACACGAAGCUCUUUGCAUUGCCACAGUUUGGAGGGAAUCAGACCGUCAAACUGGUUUUGAUUCAAAGAAAAUCGUUGAAUACUCGAAAGAUGCUCACACAUAUUGUCCGGAAGAAUACCACUCAUGUUGUUUCCGGAUAAAGCCAAAGUAGUCAAAGAAGAUAUGUUAAGGACAGGCACAAAAGCAGAGCCUUUAGGGCAUUGUCCUGCACAAACAACUCCUCCAACUGACCUAAACUGCCUAUCUCGUUCGGAAGUUCUAUAAAAUCAAUCCGUGUAUAUUGUUAAAAUCAUGUAUACAUAUAUAGGAGCAGCUUCUUAUUGGGAAUCCCGUUGUACCAUAGCAAAAGUGGGAUACAUUCUAAGGACCAUGUACUCACCAUAUAGGACCUCUUUUUUGCUCUAGAAUACGAGGGUCUUACACGGUCAAUAUACGAUCCUACAAUAGUCCUCUCAUCUCAUUUUUUGCCGAAGUUGAACAAGAUCCCAGCUAAGAAGGGGCUUGUGUUUAUGUGUGUGUGUGUGUGUUUGUAUAUAUAUGUAACAAAACCUCAGUCAUACAGUAUACCUUCGAACUUGUUGUCGUCAAGGUAUAUGCCCUUCACCAUUGUUAAGUUGCCUAUUUCUCUGGGUAUACUACCUGUUAAAUAUGUGCAUGCAUUCCAACAAAAAAGAAGGAAAAAAAAAAACAAACGAGAUGAUUGUUAUACAUCUUAUAUAUAGAGGUUAAAAUGAAACAAAGAUGUUAAAAUGUAAUGAUGAAGCAAGCAACAUUAAUUUAUAUUCCUAGGUAGUUGGUAAUGGUGGUAUGUACGUACCCGAUAGUUGGUUCCUCAUCAGGUAAAUGUUUUCGAGUGCAGAUAAGUUGAAGAUAGCAGCGGGUAUGAAACCAGAGAAGUCAUUAUCGUACAAUUUGAUGGUUUGAAGUUUAGCAAAGGACCCAAACCACAAAGGAAUGGUUCCCAUAAAGCUGUUGUUUCCAAAGUUAAUCGCCUUCAACCGGCGCAAACGAGACAGUUCUUGCGGUAGGGGACCAUGAAAACUAUUAUUCUGAAGGCCCAACUCAACGAGAAAUGAGAGGUUGCCAAGAUGCGGAGGAAUAACUCCGGCAAGACCCAUGUAAGGGAGAUUUAAGGCCGUGACUCUGUGGUGGCGAGCACCGCAGGUAACGCCAACCCAGUUGCAAAUGUUGGAAUUGGAGGCAGAGGACCAGUUGGCGGUCAAGAUGUUUUGAGGGUCACUAGUGAUGUGAGCCUUGAGAGCAAGAAGCGCAGAUUGAUCUGUGCUGAAAUUGGUAUGAGCUAUUGCUAAUGCUCCUGCAGUUAAGUAAUUAGCCACAAUCAUCAUAUAGAUAUAACACAAGCAUUGUAUCAUCGACAACAUCUUUGAUAGUAGGAAACGACUUCUCUCCUUAAUUGUAGUAGUUUUCGUCUUUCGGUAUAAAUUCGAUCGAAAACUAGAACUCAUUACAUUCACAUAAAUAGGGAAACAAGUUGGUGUUACCAAGACUUGUGAACGACUUUUGUACUGGUUUGAUACUGAGGUGCUUUUAUAAAAAAUGGGUAUAAAAAAAAAAGAUGAGCUCAAAAAGGUGUUUGGUAAACACUUAAAAACAGUUUAUUUUCACAGUUUUGGGUGAAAAAAAAUUAAAAGCGUGAAGCAGCAAAAAUAAGCUUAUUCUCACAGCACAACAUAAACAGUUUUUUUUUUCAAAGCACAGCAAUACCAAACCAGCCCUUAGACUUGCCCGGCUUCUAUGUCAAGGUGAGGAGACUUUAGAUUUUUUAACAUAUCAAACACACACCAUUCAUUUUUUGCUGAUGGCGUAGGUAGGUGAGGAGGAAUGGUGACUGCGAUGUAAGAGAGAUUCAAGGCCACGACUUGAAUGUGGCAUACCAACCCAGUUGCAACUUUCAAGUGAGCAAUCAAUGCUAAGGAUGUUUUGGUCUGUGGUGGUGAUAUUUGGUAAUUCGCUGAUAGGUUAGCUAGGUGAGGAGGUCUAGUCUAAGUCCGACUUUUUUGUCGAAGUGAGGACUUAGAAUAGUGGAACGAAGGCUUGUGAUUUGGUAAUUGGUGCUGCCAGCCGACGAGUUCUGUCCAUUUUGUGGGCAUAGCUGGAGAUGCCCAAAUGUGGAAUUUUAGUCUUCAGUUCACCAUCAAAACAAACAAUACCAUAAAUUUCAAGAUUGAUAUUUAAUGAUGACAUACAUUUUGAUUCAAAUGCAAAUGCAAAUGCGACCAAACACAUGACAGUUACAUUCUUCCGGAUGAAAUGUUUUCGACGACGUUUACAUAUAAUCAAGCUCUAGUUGAACACUCUUCGGAUUCGAAAAUCAUCUAAACUUGGCUAAUUAGUCAAGAAUUACGGUCUUAUGCUUCUAAAUUAUUAAUCACGAUCGCAUGUAUAAAUUCAUUGCAGCAAUAACGAAGAAGGGAAGUAACAACCAGAGAUUGAAAACUAGUUCAGAUACGUACAUUCACUAUCAUGCAGACUUGCCAUUGGAGACAGCUCUGAAUAUGCAAAGGUUUUUUAUAGGAAAAAUUAGUAUCCGGUCCCUAGUUCUUACUGUUCAUUGAUUAAGACCUUAUUAGUUCUCAAAUUUUGAUUCAAGUCCCUAGCAAUAAUGUGAUAAUGAAUUUACAUGUUUAUUAUAUAAUUUUUUAAUAUAAAAAUUAGUAAUUAAUUUAGGGUUUAAUACUCACACCUCUAUUAAACUUCUAAUUAAUUUUCAAUUCAAACAUUUCCAAAAUAAUAAAAAAUUAAAUUAAAUUAAGUUUGUACCUAUUACUUUAUAUAUAUAUAUAUAUAUAUAUAUAUAAAGAUUCUCAAUUUUUUAAUCUUAAAUGUACCCAUUCAUAUAAUUUUUCAAUUUUUUUAAUCUUAAAUGUACCCAUUCUCAAAUACAUCAAUUUGUUAUAUGUAAAAUGUACCCUUUUUUUUAAUAUAAAAUCCAUUCAAAUUUUUUAAUCCAUGUUUAAACUUAUAUGGGUACAUUCUUUUUCGUUGAUUUGAGAAUGUAUCCAUGUUUUGAUACAAUAACUUUUUUUGUUAAUUUUGGUUAAUGUACCCAUACAUAUAUGUACACACACAAUAUAAUAGAGGGUAUAAUUUAUAUUUUAUUAUUUUUAAUCCCAUAAAUUAUGGGUUUUAUUUAAAAUCUCAUUAAUAUAAACAAUUACAAAUUUCAAUUUUUAAUUUUUAAUUUAAAACAUAUAGUAACUUACAUUAUUAUAUUAAUGUCAGGACCUCAAUCAAAAACUAAAAACUAACAAGGUUUCAAUUAAAAAAUAUUGAUAGCUAGGGAACGCAUCCAAAGUGUCCAUUUUUUAUAUGACUUCAACAAGAGAGGACAUACCAUGCUUAGAGAUGAAGCAGGCCUGCACCUGCAAGCCACGGUGGUAAUCGAAUUCCAGUGAAAGGGAACAAAACUCCAGCCGCCACCGGCAUGCUGAGGAUAUUGUAGCCCAGGGCCCAGACAUAAUUCAAUCGAAUUUGAGACAUGGUCUUUCUAGAGAGAUCAAUGGCUGUAACUACAUCUUCCAAGUUGCUCUUCCUCAGAACUAUAAGCAGCUUCUAUAACUACGUCGGUGCCCGCACCAAUUGCCAUACCAACAUGUCCUGCAACCAUUGCCGGAGAGUCAUUAAUUCAAUCUCCCAUCAUUGCCACCACCAUUCCUUUCAUCUGCAUCCAAAUCCACUUUAACAAGUCAGAAAACACUAUGUAAGAUAGAUAACUCACAUAUCAAGUCAGAAACAAACUUAAUAUAGAAAAAUGAGUUUGAAGAUUGUUUGCAAGGUUUAGCAAGGUUUUAAAUGAAAUAGGAAUAGGGCCUUCUAAAUGAUUGUUUGCCAAGGAGAAAUCAAUCAUAUUCUGAAGACCCCCAAUGCCACCGGGAAUGCUUCCGGAGAAAUGGUUAUUUGAUAAAUCCAUAUCCACCACAUCCUUCAACUUUCCGAUGUCUUCUGAGAGUGGUCCAACCAGAGAAUUGGAUGACAAGUUUAGGUGCAAUAUAUACUUGAGUUCCCACAAGGAAGAUGGUAUUUUAGAAGUUAACAAAUUGGACCCUAACGGUAGAAAUCUUAGAGCUACUGCCGAAGUACCCAAGCAGGAAGGAAUAGAACCAGAGAGCCGAUUACCAUCCAAACGUAACUCGGCUAGGUUGUUUAGUUGACAGAGUUCAUACGGGAUAUGUCCUCCCAGUUCGUUAUCAUACAAAUACAAACCUUGGAGAUUUUUUAGCCUUUGUAUUGAAGUUGGAAUUGCUCCACUCAACUGAUUGUUUCCCAGGCUUAAUGAUAUCAAGCUGCUCAAGUUGCCAAUAUCAACUGGAAUGUUACCCCUGAUGUUCGAAUUUCUUAAAUUAACAUAUAGGAGUGACGUAGAGAGAUUCCCACGAGAAGCUGGAAUCAUGGUGUUUAGUGGAUUUCCUGCCAAGUAUAAUCUUGUCAAAUUUCUAAGAUUAAACAAGCAAGAGAGAGUGCUUGCUGCUUAUGGAGUAGAAGCAUGAAUUGUCAAAUUAUUCGAGUGCAGGUUUUUCAGGGAACAUAGCGUGGUAGGAAGAAUCCCGGUAAAUGAGUUUGUGUUCAUGUCUAGCUUCCAGAGCUUGGAAGCAUUGGAGAGGUUAGGGAGUAUUCCAGCCACGAGGUUACUUCUGGCUACAUAAAGGAUUUCUAGGUUUGGACCGUUAAGAGUCUUAACUUAAGACCGCUGUUUGCUGGGAGGCUACUUGAGAGCUGAUUGAAAGAACGCCCUAUUUCUCUUAUCAUGCAGAGAUUGAAGAGUUUGGAUGGGAUGACGCCACUGAGAUUAUUAAUAACAAGUCCCAAAAUCUCUAACUACGGAAGAUUACCAAUAUCAUCCGGUAUUGUAUCUGUUAUAAUUUCAGCACAUUUGCAUUAAAUUUUUAACUUCAAUUUAACUAAAAACUAAAAGCGAAAUGAUUAUCAAACAAUCCUAAAUUUACUACCUAUUAAAUUAUUGUCAUUAAGAUAAAUCUUGGUUAAGUAGGUCAAAUUGCCAAGACUUUUGGGUAUGCUUCCAAGGAAAUUGUUAGACCCUAAUAAGAUUUCACAAAGCUCUUUGCAUUGCCACAGUUUGGAGGGAAUAAGACCGUCAAACUGGUUUCGACCCAAAUUAAAUCGUCGAAUACUCAGAAGAUGCUCACAUAUAUUUUUCGGAAGACUGCCACUAAUAUUGUUUCCAUAUGGAGCCAAAGUAGUCAAAGAAGAUAUGUUGAGGACAGGCACAAUAGCAGAGCCUUUUAGGGCAUUGGACUGCGCAUACAACUCCUCCAGCUGAUCUAAACUACCCAUCUCGUUUGGAAAUUCUAUAAAUCAAUCAGUAUAUAUUGUUAAAAUCAUGUAAACAUAUAUAGGAGUUGCUUCUUAUUAGGAAUCCUGUUCUACCGUAGCAAAAGUGGGAUAAUAUUAUAAGGACCAUGUACAACUAUAUAGGUUCUCUUUUUGCUCCAGCAUACGAGGGUCUUACAUAGUAAAUAUACGAUCCCUAUGAUAGUCCUCUUAUUGUAUUUUUGCUAAAGUGGAACGAGAUUCCUGCUAAGAAGGGGCUCGUAUCUAAACUACUUACUACCUCAAUCAAAACUACAUGAAAUUACAAUUUUAACACCCAAACCAAAACUGCACAAAAAUAAAAAAAACUAUGGGUAAUUUAGUAAGGGCUGUGCUAUCCACACACCCCAUUUUACUUCUCACACACCCCUUGAUAAUUUAUGUAUGUUGAUAUUCUUCAAUUGAUUCGAUCCGACGGCCGAAAAUUAAAAAGGUUUGUGAGAAGUAAAAUGGGAUGUGUGCAUAUCACACCCCUUUAGUAAUUACAUGAACAUAACUUUUGUUGUUAUUUAGGGCAACCUCACAGCUAGGUCACCAUAGCAUGCCAUAUUUAAAAAUUAAAAAUAAAAUAAAAUAGUAAAUAAAAAACAUGCCUACUUUAGAAGAAACUGCUCAUCAUUUUCCCAAUUUUUAUAAGGGGUGUGCUAUCCACACAUUUUUUUACUUCUUACACAUUCCUUGUUAAUUUAUGUCCGUUGAUCUUCUUCAUUUUAUCCGAUACUACGGCUGAAGAUUAGAAGGGUGUGUGAAAAGUAAAAAGGGUGUGUGGAUAUCACACCCCUUUUUUUAUAAUUGAUUUAUUGUUUUAGAAUUUUAAAAACUAAUCACACUACUUAGUAAAAAAAACAAAAUGAAAUGAAAUUAUACAAAACCUAAGUCAUACAGUAUACCUUCGAACUUCUUGUCGUCAAGGUUUAUGCAAUUCACCAUUGUUAAGUUGCCUAUUUCUCUGGGUAUGCUACCUGUUAAAUAUGUGCAUGGAUUCCAACAAAAAAGAAGGCAAAAAAAACGAAGGAGAUGAUUGUUAUACAUCUUAUAUAUAGAUGUUAAAAUGUAAUCAUGAAGCAAGCAACAUUAAUUUAUAUUCCUAGCUGUUGGUAAUGGUGGUACGUACGUACCUGAUAGUUGGUUCGUGCUCAAACUAAUCAUUUCGAGUGCAGAUAAGUUGAAGAUAGCAGCGGGUAUGAAACCAGAGAAGCCAUUACCGUACAAUUUGAUGGUUUGAAGUUUAGGAAAGGACCCAAAUCACGAAGGAAUGGUUCCCAUAAAGCUGUUGUUUCCAAAGUUAAUUGCCUUCAACCGGCGCAAACGAGACAGUUCUUGCGGUAGGGAACCAUGAAAGCUAUUAUUCUUAAGGCCUAACUCAACGAGAAAUGAGUGGUUGCCUAGAUGCGGAGGAAUAACUCCGGCAAGACCCAUGUGCGAGAGAUUUAAGGCCGUUACUCUGUGGUGGCGAGCACCGCAGCUAACGCCAACCCAGUUGCAAAUGUCGGAAUUGAAGGCAAACGACCAGUUGGCGGUCAAGAUGUUUUGAGGGUCACUAGUGAUGUGAGCCUUGAGAGCAAGAAGCACAGACUGAUCUGUGCUGAAAUUGGUAUGAGAUAUUGCUAAUGCACCUGCAGUUAAGUAAUUAGCCAUAAUCAUCAUAUAGAUAUAACAUAAACAGUGUAUCAUCGACAACAUUUUUGAUGGUAGGAACCGACUUCUCUCCUUAAUUGUAGUAGUUUUCGUCUUUCGGUUUAAAUUCGAUCGAAAACUAGAGCUCAUUACAUUCACAUAAAUAGGGAAACGAGUUGGUGUUACCAAGACUUGUGAACGACAUAGACUUGCCCGGCGUCUAUGUCAAGGUGAGGAGACUUAGACUAGUCGAACGAAGACGAGUGGCAAGGAACACCUACCAUUCAUUUUUUGGAUUUUUUAACAUAUCAAACACACACCAUUCAUUUUUUACUGAUAGCUUGAAGGUGGCGUACGCCGUAAGCAACACCUACCAAUUGCAACUUGGAAGUGAGCAACGAGUGGUAAGGAUGUUUUGGUCUGUGGUGGUGAUAUUUGGUAAUUGGUGCUGCUAGCCGACGAGUUCUGUCCAUUUUGUGGUCACGGCUGGAGAUGCCCAAAUGUGGAAUUUUAGUCUUCAGUUCACCAUCAAAACAAACAACACCAUAAAUUUCAAGAUUGAUAUUUAAUGAUGACAUACAUUUUGAUUCAAAUGCAAAUGCAAAUGCGACCAAACACAUAACAGUUACAUUCUUCCGGAUGAAAUAUCUUUGCCGACAUUUACAUAUAAUCAAGCUCUAGUUGAACACUCUUCGGAUUCGAAAAUCAUCUAAACUUGGCUAAUCAGUUUUUUCUGAACAGAACAAACCAAAGAUGAUACGCAAACGGUCCAAGAAUUACGGUCUUAUGCUUCUAAAUUAUUAAUCAUGAUCGCAUGCAGACUUGCUAUUGGAGACGCUCUGAAUAUGCAAAGGCUUCUUAUAUGACUGCAACAAGAGAGAACAUACCACGCUUAGAGAUGAAGCAGGCAUGCACCUGCAAGCCAUGGUGGUAAUCGAAUUCCAGUGAAAGGGAACAAAACUCCAGCCGCCACCGGCAUGCUGAGGAUAUUGUAGCCCAGGGCGACAUAAUUCAAUCGAAUUCGAGACAUGGUCUUUCUAGAGAGAUCAAUGGCUGUAACUACAUCUUCCAAGUUGCUCUUCCUCAGAACUAUAAGCAGCUUAUAUAGCUAUGUCGGUGCCAGCACCAAUUGCCAUGCCAACAUCUCCUGCAACCAUAGCCGGAGGGUCAUUAAUUCCAUCUCCCAUCAUUGCCACCGCCAUUCCUUUCAUCUGCAUCCAAAUCGACUUUAACAAGUCAGAAAACACUAUGUUAGAUAACUCACAUAUCAAGUCAGAUACAAACUUAAUAUAGAAAAAUGUGUUUGAAGAUUUCUAUAAGACAUUAUUUUACCCUAGAUAAGUCAUUUGAAAUAUAAUUUAGUAAUCCUCAAUCUGCGUUCAAAACCAGAACAAAAUUACUUGUGGAGCUGGGUAAUUGUAAUCCACUCACACCACCCCUGUAACUAUUAUAUAAUCGUAACUGUAAUUCUUUGAUUCUAUCAGCUUUUCAUAGUGGAUCCGUCUCAGCACACCUUAUCAAUGCCAACCUCCAUCGCACUGGCUGCCGCUGUAGCCCAGUUAUCACCAGUAACCAUGAUGCUUGUAAUGUUUAUCGAGUGAAGAUAAGAGAUGACUCGUGCAGCCUCUGGCUUCACUGGGUCAGUUACAGCAAAAGACCCAGCAAUCUUUCCAUCAAUGGACACCAACACACACCUUCGAGCCAGAUUAUCAUGUUCUGAAACAUACUUGUCAACCUCAGGACCAACCUGGACAUUAUUUUCCCGCAUGAGCCUCAGCAAUCACCAUUUACCUACAUAUUUCUCAAAUAGAGGCAUGUUAGCAUGAUUGACAAAAUAAUAACAAUAAGUUGUCUCAUCUGUAACUUUACAAACUUCAAACUUUUCAUGAACAAAUUUGAAACAUAAGCACCAACCUCUGUGACAAUAGACACAGCACAGAACUCCUCCAUUGAGUAAUUGGAGAAGAGCACAGCAUUGACUACUACGGGUUUCCCAACUGUCUCUCUGGUUGAGGCUGCAUUCAUUUUGACACAUGGGAAGGGCUUACUCUCCUAGUGGCUCGGCUUGGUCUCGCUCCCUUCCCGCACUAUUCCUCCCCACUAAAAAGAUUUGAUAAUCUCAAUAACGUUCAGAAAGGUUAUUGAGAUAAAUCGAUGAAAUCUUUCAAGCCAGCAUGGGGCAAAAGCUAUCAAAACGGGUGAUUGGGGAAGGAGAGAUAGGUCCAUUCACGAACACUAUUGGUCCCUGUUUCAUAAAAAAACAACCGUUUUCACUGGCAGGGAUCAAACACGUCCGUAAACAUCCAGACACCAACAAGGUGUCAAAUACUAAGAAACGUAUCAACCUUCAUGAAUUAGGUACCGUCUGUUCAGCUUUUAAUUUUGGAAAGAACAAAAACCCCAAAAAGGACGAAACAAUUAUUAGCCUUGUUAUAAAAAAGGGAGUUGGGGUAAAGAGAACUCUCCUUCAAUGAGAGCUGUCAUCUACAAGAAAUGGGGAUAUAAAACUUGGCGAGUACGGCUUGGUGACAUGGACAAGGUGCAUACAGCCAUCAAUCGUCCAGAACCAAAGGGUCAUAUGAGACAGAUUCCAACUAUGAAAUAAUAGUUGCAUGUUCAAUCCCAAUAUAUGCAGGAAGAACAUCCUCCAUACCCAAUGACAUAGAUUGCAUUUAGUUUUAUGUCACGAGCCUAAACGUUGAUCGAACCAAGGCAGAGCGUUUAACUGGUCAGGAAUGAAGUCCAUAACUUGUUCUCAUACGGAACACUAACAUAAUGUAGGGUGGUAGUAUAGGGGAUAGUAUGAAAUGACCAGAACAAUAUGAGGAGAGCAACUUCAUAAUGGAGGAAUGACGAGAAAAAAAAAACUACACUUGCACCCUCAAGACAUAUAGAGAAUGUAUCUAAUCAGAAAUUGGUUUUUCCUAAACCACAACAAACAGGUUUUCGACGUCCUCAAAGGAAAUGUAGGAACAAGUAUAAUGAAGCAACUAAACACACCAGCAAAAACAACAUGAAAAUAAAAUGCAUGAAAACCAGAUUCUAAAUUAAAAAAGAAAUUUGUUUCCAAGGAUAAGGUGGUCUUACCUUAUAAGCCUUUUCAAGUACACUAGCAAAAAUGCCCGCACUCCGCUGCGGGGACUUCUAGAAGUAUGAUCUUGUACCAUUUGAUUUCUUUUGCCAUUCCUAGUUCUUUUUGGCAUCAUGUGCAAAACCAAAUUGAUAGAUAAAAAAAGGUCGUACCCAGUGCACAAGGCUCCCGCUUUACGCAGGGUCUGGGAGAGGUGAAUGUCGGCUAGCCUUACCCCCAUUUAUGGAGAGGGCUGCUCCCAAGUCUCGAACCCGAGACCUACCGCUCAUGGGCGAAGGCACUUGCCAUCACACCAAGUGCGACCUCUUUAUUAUAAUUAAGUAAAAAAAUGAUAGGUAGGAAGAAAAAAAUGAAAACACCUGCAUAAAUUCAAUUUUCCAUCACCCCUAUAUUAUAAUUAAAUAAAGCAAAACAUAAUAAUCAUCUCACAAUUACAGAAGCAAGGACUUUCAAAUGCCCCAAUUAGUUAACAGCCACUAUGCAUAAUUCUGAAAAAAUGAGUAUAAAAUUAACCUCUUUUGAAAAACGAAGGAAGAAAGAUGAAACCUUAAGCCAAGGAAUAUAACUAUGUUGAACUCAAUUAUUUGACAUUAAUUACACAAACCCAAUUCCAUAUAUAUAGCCAGACAGAAGCUUUAUCCUAGAGAGAAACCAUGCCCAAAUGAUUAUAAUUCAGAGCAUAAAAGGGAAGUGAGUUCCUUGGUUCCCACAUUGUAGAGACUAAAUCUCAAAACUUUGCCAAGCAUUACAGGAAACCAUGGAAAGAAUAAAAAUGACCACAAAGAUUGCAAAACAAUUAACCACAGGUGGUGUUUAUAUGCCCACUGAGAGAAAAGAGCUUGUGCAAGUGAAAAAACGUAUUUAUAUAAAACAGGCAUGCACCAUCUGAAAGAGCCUCUUGUAUCCAUUCCAAUUAUACUUAUGUCUACCAUAUCCCUCUACAAUUCCCCACCACCAAUCAACCAUAACUGAUUUCAAUACCCUUAGCUGCUUUAGUAGACCAUCUAGUGACACCAACUGCCACCAAAAUAAAAGACACGAUCAAGACCAUACAAAUUACAGACUAAGCUUAAAAACAACGGUUAUCUAUUAAGCAAAACUUGGAACUCCUUGACAUGGCAACCUCUUAAUCCAGGAUGUAGAGUAGAAAAGCAAAAUUAUUGACAAACCGAAAAAUAACAAUUUAACUUGCAUAGUAAACGAAUAUUAGUAAAGUUACAUAACUCAAUGGAUUACAUAAAUCUGUAAAAAAGCGAAACAUCAGUGUUUGGGAAGUUACCUUAUUUGAAAUGUCAGGAGCAUCUGGUGUACAUACAGGGUAGACAGUCCUUGCAAAAUUCAGGGCUUCAAAAUAAAAUAAAAUAAUAAAUUCAAAAGAAAUCAAAACUAUUAAUCCUAACAACUGUUUAGUAAAGGAUAAAACAAUCUUUCCAUCAAGCAAAUUUGAGAAACAAGUAAUGAAUGGAAUAACCCAAUUUCUAUCGCCAAUCACCCUUGCUGAGUGAUGAUUCACAUACUUCCUCAUAUUUGUUUAUGGGUUCCUGUCCAACAAAAUUUCGACUUAGUACCCAAAAACUGUAUCAGCUCACAAACACACAGAGGUUUAUCAAAUUCAAAGCAAAACCCACAUAUAUUCUCAAGAUUCUAGAGUUAAAAGAGGAGCAAGGAGGUUCGGUUAAGGAACCCAAAACGCUAUUUUAAUGAGCAAAUGAAUAUCUAAACUGGGGUUAACAAGUUUCAGCAAUAAAAAACAUGUCUUUCGAACGAAGUUGCAUAAAUUACAGAACUUUGGGAUUAAGGAGGAACAAAAAGCCCAAAUUCCAAUCAAGAAAAAAAAAAUGUAUGUAAAUUUAAGCUUUACCUGUAGAUUGGCAGCAGCAAAACAUACUGGAUCCAACGGGAGCCACGUGUGAGAACUGGAUGCCCAGCCUUUGACACGUUAUUGAGUGAGUUUAGGGAUCUGGGUUUUGUGUUUGCCGUUGAAUUUUGGAAUGAUCUGGAGAAAUUUGGGUUUUAGGGUUCUAAGGAUUUGAGUGAACUGAAAUUGAUUUGGAUGAGCAACUUUUAGUUUCGAUUCGCGGUGGAGCAAGGAUGAAGAGGUGGAGGAGGAAGGAAUGAAAGACUUAACUUCUAAAGUUUCAAGUGCUCAAGGAAGAAAAUAUCGGUAAUAUCGGAAAUAUCGGUAGUCUGAAAACAUGGAAAUAUCGAUGGAAAUAUCGGGAUAAUAUCGAUAUCGAUAAAAAUUACAUGGAAACCACGGAAAUUGUAAGAAAAACUUGGAAAUUUUUAUUGAAACUUUGCAGGAUGUUUAUUUAGUCAAUUAUCUAUUUGUUUAUCACAAAAAAUUGGAAGGAAAGGCAUUACAUGAUGGAUUUAACAUUAUCAAGUUGAUUAUAUAACGAGCUGACAAACAUUGUGAGUGUAGAAAAUAUGUAGAAAUUAAUGAAAGAAGUCUAAACACACCAUAAUCAUUUAUAUAUAAUGAAUUAGUACAAUAUUUUACACUUUAUACAUUGCAUGGUAAGAUACAUGAGUGACUUAGUACCACAUAGAGUUCCUAUGAGGUUCAAAAUUUUCACUAUCUUCAUCAUCUCUAUGUGUAGAGUGAGUGUAUUUUAAAGAGUAGUUAGCAACCAUGGCAAUGGUUUUCAAGAACCAAAACCCAAAAGUCAAUAGGAAACCGAAUACUUCGGUAUUUUUCGGGAUUACCAAACAAAUGGGAUUUGGAAACCAAUCCCAUAUCGAAAAUUUCGGUAUUUUUCGGGAUGGGAUUCCCGAACUUCAGGAUGGUUUUGGUUUGGGAUUUUUCGGUUUGGGUUUGGGACUUUUUCAAUUUGGUUUGGGAUUUUCCGGAAUUUUUUCCAGCCCUACCAUGUAAGUGACCAAAUAAAAAAUAGAAAAAUUAAAAACCACAUGCCAUUGACUAAGUAAUUAAUUGAUACAAUUUAAAAUAUAAUACCACAAAAAAUUUGGAAUAUGUGCAAAUUUGUUUCUUGUAAAAAGAAUUCAAAACAAAACCAUAUAUAUAAAUAUUGUAGCAUAUUAUCACAACAUCAUAAGUGGUAUAGUGGUUAAGGCGUUAAGGAGGUAAACUCGAGGAGUUCGAACCCUUCUAUGCUCAAAAUUGAGACUUUUCCAAAUUUUCAGGAAUUUUUUGACUAAUAUCGCGAUAUUUUGACGAAAACUCAUUGGAUACUCAUUAAAAUAUCGGUAACUCAAAAAAACGAAAAUAUCGGCGAAAUAUCGUCGAUAUUUUGGAUAUUUUCUUCCAUGCAAGUGCUCAACAAAUUUCGAUCAAUGUAUGUUUCAAUACUUCAAAAAAAGGGACAUGCAUCAAAGACUUUUAGGUGGAAAAAAAUAUGCAUUGGCUGAUGGAGAUAAUUAGGAUUUAAAAUGUUAAAAAUUUUCUUUUUGGCUCACUAAUUAGAUGCAAAAGUGAGACUGUGUGAACAAUUUUACACCCAGAAACAUGAACUACACAGAAUCACAACUGAUCGAACAAUGAGAAAGUAUAUAAGACAAUACACUAUCAAUAGGCUAAAACACUCUUUUAAUUGAUCUAACAAUAGGCUAAAACACUCUUUUAAUUGAUCUAACAAUAGGCUAAUAGGAUUAACUAAACCAUUAGAGACUGCAACAAUGAGAAAGUCUGAAGAUUAAAGUUCUAGUUGAAUAUCUUUGAACCCCUAGGUGUUGGAAACACUUUCAGUAAAUUUGUUCAGGAAAAUAUAGAAACUCAUGAUGCAAUUCCAUCGUCUGGGAUAGCACAUAUUUACCUGGAAUCCAACAUUAAGCUAACAUUUUUCAUAAGUUUAUUCUUUUUGUUAACUACACUGGAAUUUAUAAAACAAUUUUAGAAAAACUCGAGUCUAGAUAAUGAACUUUUGUUCCAGUUUAAAAAAUUUUGACUUGUGUUCUAAGCAACAUAAUGUAUUCACAUUUCAAUUGUGAAAGGCAGCAAUAAUCCCCGACUGAAGAUAUUAAAAAUCAGAACUUCUUCUCCAAGUUUUCAUUUAGUUUAUUUCACUUGUCCAUCGGAAUUUUAUGCAAAGAAGAUUAAAUAAAGACAAUAGCAUGCCAAAGAUUAAAACCCCUCAUUUCAAACUCUGCUAAUGCACAACUCUGUUUGGUUUUCUUCCCAGAGACC
rnacentral:lncRNA from 1 species